rnacentral:rRNA from 1 species
UACGGAGGGUGCAAGCGUUGUUCGGAAUCAUUGGGCGUAAAGCGCGUGUAGGCGGCUUGGUAAGUCGGGUGUGAAAGCCCGGGGCUUAACCCCGGAACUGCAUUCGAAACUGCCUCGCUAGAGUCCCGGAGGGGAAGGCGGAAUUCCCGGUGUAGAGGUGAAAUUCGUAGAUAUCGGGAGGAACACCCGUAGCGAAGGCGGCCUUCUGGACGGUGACUGACGCUGAGACGAGAAAGCGUGGGGAGCAAACAGG